rnacentral:rRNA from 1 species
UGGGGAAUAUUGCACAAUGGGCGCAAGCCUGAUGCAGCCAUGCCGCGUGUAUGAAGAAGGCCUUCGGGUUGUAAAGUACUUUCAGUCGGGAGGAAGGUGUCAAGGUUAAUAACCUUGUCGAUUGACGUUACCGACAGAAGAAGCACCGGCUAACUCCGUGCCAGCAGCCGCGGUAAUACGGAGGGUGCAAGCGUUAAUCGGAAUUACUGGGCGUAAAGCGCACGCAGGCGGUUGAUUGAGUCAGAUGUGAAAUCCCCGGGCUUAACCCGGGAAUUGCAUCUGAUACUGGUCAGCUAGAGUCUUGUAGAGGGGGGUAGAAUUCCAUGUGUAGCGGUGAAAUGCGUAGAGAUGUGGAGGAAUACCGGUGGCGAAGGCGGCCCCCUGGACAAAGACUGACGCUCAGGUGCGAAAGCGUGGGGAGCAAACAGG